rnacentral:lncRNA from 1 species
GAGGCCCCGCCCCCGUCAUGGCGCCCGAGGAGAACGCGGGGAGCGAACUCUUGCUGCAGAGUUUCAAGCGCCGCUUCCUGGCAGCGCGCGCCCUGCGCUCCUUCCGCUGGCAGAGCUUAGAAGCAAAGUUAAGAGACUCAUCAGAUUCUGAGCUGCUGCGGGAUAUUUUGCAGAAGACGUGCUGUAUUGCCCAGAAGCCAUCGUGUCGCUGGUCGGGGUCCUGCGGAGGCUGGCUGCCUGCCGGGAGCACCAGCGGGCUCCUCAAUUCUACAUGGCCCUUACCGUCUGCAACCCAGAGAUGUGCCAGCUGUUCACCACCGAGCUAUGUGAGCCCCCACGCCCACCCGGGCCUGCAUGGUCCCCAAGCUGUCCCUACAGGACUCCAGUGGAAGUGAAAGAACUGGGGGCCGGGGAAAAGCUAGGAUGCCCCACACUCCCACACCAUGCGGGGAACUAGGGCAGAGGCCGGCUGGACUGGGAUCAGAUGGGAAGCGGAAGCUCAUCAUGACCAGAAACUGUUUCCCUACAGAGAGCACUUGGAGAUGGCAAAGCUGAACCUCACACUGUAGGACUCACACAUGACUCCAACGGGAUUGUGAGAAUUAAGUCACUCUCGUGGGAAGAAUUUUUAUAUGGGAAAGCGGAUAAAACUUUCAUUGGACUGGAAUGUUUGGAGAAUGUUAAAUUCCAAAUCAGGAACCACAAACUGCGCUCUAAUAAGACAUCGGCUAUCUAAGCAUGUGGGUUCCCCCUUUCUGCCAGCAGUUCUGGUUCUUAAGAAAAUCACCAUAAAUCAGACAUGAAAAUUCUGGCUCCAAAAAUAGCAUUUUCAUUGUGCAAAUAAAAACGUGUGUAUCAAGUAUGACAUUCCCCCAACGUGGACACACUUGGUUCCUCACAAAGCCAAGCCCGCUGCAGCUGCCACAUCCCUGGACACACUCGUUUCCUCACAAAGCCAAGCCCGCUGCAGCUGCCACAUCCCUGGACACACUCGGUUCCUCACAAAGCCAAGCCCGCUGCAGCUGCCACAUCCCUGGACACACUCGUUUCCUCACAAAGCCAAGCCCGCUGCAGCUGCCACAUCCCUGGACACACUCGUUUCCUCACAAAGCCAAGCCCGCUGCAGCUGCCACAUCCCUGGACACACUCGGUUCCUCAAAAAGCCAAGCCGGCUGCAGCUGCCACAUCCCUGGGUUUAUGAUGCAGCAGGUGCUUUUUUCAAGACAGGAAUCAAAGUGUUAGGAACAUGGCAGAAAGGUGACACCUGGAGACCAAAUGCAGGGUAAGGAGUACUGCAGAGGUCACAGGGAAGUCACAGAACAGUAAUACGCUAGCAGGGGCAUGGGGCGUGAAGAACAGAAGACAGGAAGCGUUUCAGAGACUCCAAAGAAGAAAUCAGGGCCAACCACAGCUUCCCGAGUCAUUCACCAGGUGGCACCACUGCCUUCAUUUCAGCUUCCGGCCACUGGGAGGCGCUGCUCGAAAGGGUUUGCCCUGAGACACCAAGAAGAAGCUGCGGGAAGGACAGCAGGGGCCCUGGGGUUUUAGCCUCUGGCCCAGGAGUUAUGUGUCCAUAACCAAAGGGAGCACAGUCUGCACCCAGCUCUCAUCCCAUCAGAGCUGCUGCGACUCCCGCAGGUUCUUCCAGAACUGGUUUAGCUUGCCUGCAGGAUCAGGAAAGUUUGAGAAAAGCAUCUGCAAAAUACUAAAGAGCAGAGCUUACUUCAUUGCCUGUCCCCACCCCAUCCCAGGUCACCACCUGGCUGAACCCAGGUCCCCGACCCAACAACAACCCCUCCCAAGUCCCUAACUCCCUCACUUGGACUUGAGACCCUUCACAACCCAGCAGCGCUCCGCCUCCAACUUGACAUCAUGCUUUCUGGAAACUUCCCCGUGUGUCCCACUUUCCCACACUUGGUGCGCUGGAGCACCUUCCGGCCUCUACAUGCUGUACGUUCCCCUGUGAGCACCCUCCUCUCAGCCUCUGGCCAACACAGUCCCACCCAUCUGUGGGUAACAAGGGGGUGUGGGUGUUCUUUUCAGCCUUGCUAAACUGUCUGAAUCAAGGAUCACAAACUACAGCCUGCAGGCCAAAUCCAGCCCACAGCCUGUGUUUGUAAAUAAAGCUUUAUUGGAACAAA